GGACCCGUAGCUUAACCGGCAGAGCAGCCGGCUCAUAACCGGUAUUGUGGAGGUUCGACGCCUUCCGGGUCCACCA
rnacentral:tRNA from 1 species